rnacentral:rRNA from 1 species
GAUGAACGCUAGCGGCAGGCCUAAUACAUGCAAGUCGAGCGGCAAGUUGAGAAGCAAUUCGAGACCUAGAGCGGCGUACGGGUGCGUAACGCGUAUGCAACCUACCUCAUACAGGAGGAUAGCCCGGAGAAAUCUGGAUUAAUACCCCAUAGUACAUAUAGAGGGCAUCUGAAAUAUGUUAAAGAUUCAUCGGUAUGAGAUGGGCAUGCGUCUGAUUAGCUAGUUGGCGGUGUAACGGACCACCAAGGCGACGAUCAGUAGGGGUUCUGAGAGGAAGGUCCCCCACACUGGCACUGAGGUACGGGCCAGACUCCUACGGGAGGCAGCAGUAGGGAAUAUUGGGCAAUGGUCGGAAGUCUGACCCAGCCAUGCCGCGUGCAGGAAGAAGGCCCUCUGGGUUGUAAACUGCUUUUAUCUGGGAAGAAAAGGCCCGUGCGCGGGAUAUUGCCGGUACCAGAUGAAUAAGCACCGGCUAACUCCGUGCCAGCAGCCGCGGUAAGAC